GAUGAACGCUGGCGGCGUGCUUAACACAUGCAAGUCGAACGAUGAAGCCCAGCUUGCUGGGUGGAUUAGUGGCGAACGGGUGAGUAACACGUGAGUAACCUGCCCUUAACUCUGGGAUAAGCCUGGGAAACUGGGUCUGAUACCGGAUAGGAGCGUCCACCGCAUGGUGGGUGUUGGAAAGAUUUAUCGGUUUUGGAUGGACUCGCGGCCUAUCAGCUUGUUGGUGAGGUAAUGGCUCACCAAGGCGACGACGGGUAGCCGGCCUGAGAGGGUGACCGGCCACACUGGGACUGAGACACGGCCCAGACUCCUACGGGAGGCAGCAGUGGGGAAUAUUGCACAAUGGGCGCAAGCCUGAUGCAGCGACGCCGCGUGAGGGAUGACGGCCUUCGGGUUGUAAACCUCUUUCAGUAGGGAAGAAGCGAAAGUGACGGUACCUGCAGAAGAAGCACCGGCUAACUACGUG
rnacentral:rRNA from 1 species